rnacentral:rRNA from 1 species
UGUUCCUACGGGGGGCAGCAGUGGGGGAUAUUGCACAAUGGGGGGAACCCUGAUGCAGCGACGCCGCGUGGGUGAAGGAGUAUUUCGGUAUGUAAAGCCCUAUCGGCAGGGAAGAAUUUAGACGGUACCUGACUAAGAAGCCCCGGCUAACUACGUGCCAGCAGCCGCGGUAAUACGUAGGGGGCAAGCGUUAUCCGGAUUCACUGGGUGUAAAGGGAGCGUAGACGGCCAGGCAAGCCUGGAGUGAAAGCCCGGGGCCCAACCCC